UCAUGCUUGUAAUCAGGUACUUGAAUUUGCAAUUACUUUUGUGAUAAAAUCAUCAAUGUUCCAUCGUGUAAAAUGAAUUUGCAAUUCUAUCCAUUUGGUUUUUUAAUUUGUGAUACUAGGAGUGAUUUUUUUUAAAUUUGUAGAGAGUUAAGGCAUUGCAUAUUCGGGACAUGGAUGUUGUAGUUGAGCCCGGAAUUGGAUGGAUGGAACUUAAUGAAUACUUGGAGCCUUAUGGUUUAUUUUUCCCUCUUGAUCCAGGGCCUGGUGCAACAAUAGGAGGCAUGUGCGCAACACGCUGCUCUGGAUCUUUAGCCAUGAUGUAGUUGCUACUCUACUACUGUCUUUCUUUGCAUUCCCUAGUUGCCCCCUUAGUCUGUUGAAAAAUUACAUUUGAAAUCUCUCUUACUGAGGUUUGUAGAAUUUUCAUUUCAGCAAUUUUGUACCAAACAAGUGUAUUCAGAUAUGAAAUGAUGGAUGUUUUUUCUCCUGGAAAA